rnacentral:rRNA from 1 species
AACGAACGCUGGCGGCAUGCCUAACACAUGCAAGUCGAACGAGACCUUCGGGUCUAGUGGCGCACGGGUGCGUAACGCGUGGGAACCUGCCUUUAGGUUCGGAAUGACUCAGAGAAAUUUGAGCUAAUACCGGAUAAUGUCUUCGGACCAAAGAUUUAUCGCCUUUAGAUGGGCCCGCGUAAGAUUAGCUAGUUGGUGGGGUAAAGGCCUACCAAGGCGACGAUCUUUAGCUGGUCUGAGAGGAUGAUCAGCCACACUGGGACUGAGACACGGCCCAGACUCCUACGGGAGGCAGCAGUGGGGAAUAUUGGACAAUGGGCGAAAGCCUGAUCCAGCAAUGCCGCGUGAGUGAUGAAGGCCUUAGGGGUUGUAAAGCUCUUUUACCCGAGAUGAUAAUGACAGUAUCGGGAGAAUAAGCUCCGGCUAACUCCGUGCCAGCAGCCGCGGUAAU